rnacentral:lncRNA from 1 species
GAGUUCAGGCUCAAAAAGGAAACUUUAUUUUACAGAUUUCUGUUUUUAAAUUCGUUAACUGAGAGAGAGCGUAACGUCAAUAAAGACAGAUGUCAAACUAUUAUGUUUACGUUAAGAAACUACCUAAUAAAGAUUGCAAAGAUUUAAGUCUGUCGAUAACAAUAGAUAGAUUCUCAAUCAAACCGAAAAUAAUAGUGUUUUCGUGCAAUUUUAAUUCUUCAAGUGAGUAAAAUUCCCACUUAUCUGAUAAAUAAGUUUUAGGUUAUGUGUAACUCACCCUCUUAGGAAUGGAAAAUGGACAGGAAUCCGGAGAACUUCGGUUCAGAUAAAUAUUCUACACUCGGAUAUUGUUUGGAUCUGAUAUGUGGUAACUGUCCUUGGAAAAAUUUCAGGAACACAGGUUAAUAAAAUCUUAAUUCGGUUGGAUUAGAAAAAACUUUUGAAUCAAUUUAAGCCAUCCCCAUUGGAGGUUUCAAGAUUUUCCAACUACAAAAGAAGUUUGAAAUUCACAAAUUUGAAAUGCAAUUUCCAAAGUCAAAAUUGUUCAAAAUCUUCUGGAAUAUAAUAAAUUACAUGUAGCUAACAUUGAUCUUUACGUUUUGGAUCGUUUAGAAAGAAUAUUAACAGUUUUAAGAGAAUUAUGAGCAACUAAAGAUUAACUGUCAACUGAAUUGAGGUUAUGUUUCUCUGUCAGGUAAAACCUGUCACGGAAGCUUUAUUACAAUAUAGAUGGGUAAAGUUAAUACCUUAUUCUCGUAUACCAAGAGGCCAAAGGGAAGGAGAGAUUGAGAAGAUGGUUGAAAGAAGAGACUCACCAAAGUACGGACUAUGGCCAAAGAUAGGAAGAAAAAUAUAAAAGAUGGAUCCAAAACCCAACACCGUAGGGUAUAAAUGGGGGCAAGAGAAAGAAGAAGAAGAAGGACACAUCAAAGUGAAAGCAAAAUUAAACGGAAUAAUUGAUAAAGUUAAGGAAGCAUUAUUUAUUAAUAUUUAUAUUGAUAGCGAUGACAUCUGAGAUUUCAGAUGAUAAUAAUUUGAUUUGACAGAUUUAAUGAUAAACUUGUUUAACUGGGCUCAUCGCACAAUGUUAAAUUUAACUCUAAUGUAAUAAUAUUGUUUUGUGUAUUGUUGUGAAACUAUAUUUUAAAAUAAAUUCACUCCAAUCUUAAACCUUAA